GGAAUAGUGGCUCUUUUAGGUUAGUGUUCUAGUCUGGUAAACCGGAGGUGAUGGGUUCGAUUCCCACCUGUUGCA
rnacentral:tRNA from 1 species